GAGAAAAAAUACCAUUGUGUAAUUAUAACGUUUGAGGCAAACAACGGGUCCACAAAAAAAAUCAAAUGAAAUAAAAAAAAACUACAAAAAAAUGGGCACUUCACAAUAGUUUUGCCGAAACCAAUAAAGAAUAAAUAAUGCAAGUGGUGCUAUAUUGAUGGCAAAAACUUGAAAACGUUUGGUGAACAAAAAUUCUAAAUAAAAACUAAAGCCUCGUUGAAUUUUUAUUCGUCAAUAACAAAGAAAGCAGUGAGAGAUUAAAUGAAAAAUCUGCGGAAAAGUCACUAAUUAACUUAUUUGGCAACUGAAUUACUAUACGAAUAAGAAAAAAACAUAAAAAAUGUCAAUGCCAUGAUUAAAAUGUUAAAGCAUAUCAGCAUAUAAGUAAGGUGUUUUUUGUGCAAAGGUCUGAAUUCUGUCUGAAAUCCAAUGAAAUAUCAUCGGCCACACAAAGUUAACAGUUUCCAUCAUUGCAAAGCAUAAUUGAGCUGUUAAUUUACCAAAAAAAAGAAAAAAGAUAAAUAAUACAAAAAAUUUUGUGAUAAACUCCAGUCGCAUGUCAUAUUGUGUUUGACAAUUUCGAGUUUUUAUUUGUGCCAGACUUUGCGAAUUUGUCUGUGUGUCUGUAAUUUUAUUGUGCCCACCAGAUGACUAUUAUUUCAUCGAAAUUGGACAAUUUUUACAGCUUCAUAUGUAAAAAAGUAUCAAAAGUAUUAGUAUUGCAAUAAGCAACUAAAACUGUUGCUGACAAUCAUUCAUCAAGAAUUACAAAGAGAAAACUGUUUUUACUUAAAUAGUGGAAAUAGUAAACAUUUUUGAACAAAUUUUAAUGGAAAAAAGUUGAAAGGUGAACGUUUCAGUCAAAGUUUUGGAAAAAUUCAAAAACUGAUAUCAUUUUUAUAUAAAGUAAAAUUUUGACGUGUCAAAUAACCUAAAUGUGACCAAUUUUCGGGACGCUAAUGAUUCAUCUGCCUUGAAUGUGUGUUUGAAUAUGAUGCCAUUCAUGAUUUAAACAAAAAAUUUCAAUGUGACUUUCAACACUUUUUCUUGCUGGCUGCAGUUCUCCGCAUCCAUAACUUUCUUAAAUAGUAAAGCAACAAAAUGGGUAUAUUUAGCCGAAGGGAUGAAAAAAACGUGGCCCCAGUUUCUGGCCAACAGACAGGAGCCACAUCCCAUACCCUCAAACAUGGAUGUCUGCCAAUUGGUUUACCACAGCCGUUACAAAUGGAAGAAAAGAAGUUUCUGUUGGCCGUGGAACGUGGUGAUAUAGCGAAUGUAAGAA
rnacentral:sRNA from 1 species